AAUAGAUACCCUGGUAGUCCACGCCGUAAACGAUGUCGACUUGGAGGUUGUUCCCUUGAGGAGUGGCUUCCGGAGCUAACGCGUUAAGUCGACCGCCUGGGGAGUACGGCCGCAAGGUUAAAACUCAAAUGAAUUGACGGGGGCCCGCACAAGCGGUGGAGCAUGUGGUUUAAUUCGAUGCAACGCGAAGAACCUUACCUACUCUUGACAUCCAGAGAACUUAGCAGAGAUGCUUUGGUGCCUUCGGGAACUCCGAGACAGGUGCUGCAUGGCUGUCGUCAGCUCGUGUUGUGAAAUGUUGGGUUAAGUCCCGCAACGAGCGCAACCCUUAUCCUUUGUUGCCAGCGGUUCGGCCGGGAACUCAAAGGAGACUGCCAGUGAUAAACUGGAGGAAGGUGGGGAUGACGUCAAGUCAUCAUGGCCCUUACGAGUAGGGCUACACACGUGCUACAAUGGCGUAUACAAAGAGAAGCGACCUCGCGAGAGCAAGCGGACUUCAUAAAGUACGUCGUAGUCCGGAUUGGAGUCUGCAACUCGA
rnacentral:rRNA from 1 species